ACGUAGGGCCCAAGCGUUGUUCGGAUUUACUGGGCGUAAAGGGCGCGUAGGCGGCAAUUCAAGUCAGCUGUGAAAUCUCCGGGCUUAACUCGGAACGGUCAGCUGAUACUGCUUUGCUAGAGUGCAGAAAGGGCAAUCGGAAUUCUUGGUGUAGCGGUGAAAUGCGUAGAUAUCAAGAGGAACACCUGAGGCGAAGGCGGGUUGCUAGGCUGACACUGACGCUGAGGCGCGAAAGCUAGGGUAGCAAACGGGAUUAGAUACCCCGGUAGUCCUAGCCCUAAGCGAUGAAUACUUGGUGUCUGGAGUUUUUAUCCUCCGGGUGCCGUCGCUAACGUUUUAAGUAUUCCGCCUGGGGAGUACGCACGCAAGUGUG
rnacentral:rRNA from 1 species